ACAUGCAAGUCGAACGGUAACAGGAAGAAGCUUGCUUCUUUGCUGACGAGUGGCGGACGGGUGAGUAAUGUCUGGGAAACUGCCUGAUGGAGGGGGAUAACUACUGGAAACGGUAGCUAAUACCGCAUAACGUCGCAAGACCAAAGAGGGGGACCUUCGGGCCUCUUGCCAUCGGAUGUGCCCAGAUGGGAUUAGCUAGUAGGUGGGGUAACGGCUCACCUAGGCGACGAUCCCUAGCUGGUCUGAGAGGAUGACCAGCCACACUGGAACUGAGACACGGUCCAGACUCCUACGGGAGGCAGCAGUGGGGAAUAUUGCACAAUGGGUGCAAGCCUGAUGCAGCCAUGCCGCGUGUAUGAAGAAGGCCUUCGGGUUGUAAAGUACUUUCAGCGGGGAGGAAGGGAGUAAAGUUAAUACCUUUGCUCAUUGACGUUACCCGCAGAAGAAGCACCGGCUAACUCCGUGCCAGCAGCCGCGGUAAUACGGAGGGUGCAAGCGUUAAUCGGAAUUACUGGGCGUAAAGCGCACGCAGGCGGUUUGUUAAGUCAGAUGUGAAAUCCCCGGGCUCAACCUGGGAACUGCAUCUGAUACUGGCAAGCUUGAGUCUCGUAGAGGGGGGUAGAAUUCCAGGUGUAGCGGUGAAAUGCGUAG
rnacentral:rRNA from 1 species